UACGGAGGGUGCAAGCGUUAAUCGGAAUUACUGGGCGUAAAGCGCGCGUAGGCGGCUUGUUAAGUCGGAUGUGAAAGCCCUGGGCUCAACCUGGGAACUGCACUCGAUACUGGCGAGCUAGAGUACGAUAGAGGGUGGUAGAAUUCCUAGUGUAGCGGUGAAAUGCGUAGAUAUUAGGAGGAAUACCGGUGGCGAAGGCGGCCACCUGGAUCGAUACUGACGCUGAAGUGCGAAAGCGUGGGGAGCAAACAGG
rnacentral:rRNA from 1 species